rnacentral:rRNA from 1 species
GAUGAACGCUGGCGGCGUGCUUAACACAUGCAAGUCGAACGAUGAAGCCCAGCUUGCUGGGUGGAUUAGUGGCGAACGGGUGAGUAACACGUGAGUAACCUGCCCUUAACUCUGGGAUAAGCCUGGGAAACUGGGUCUAAUACCGGAUAGGAGCGCCUACCGCAUGGUGGGUGUUGGAAAGAUUUAUCGGUUUUGGAUGGACUCGCGGCCUAUCAGCUUGUUGGUGAGGUAAUGGCUCACCAAGGCGACGACGGGUAGCCGGCAUGAGAGGGUGACCGGCCACACUGGGACUGAGACACGGCCCAGACUCCUACGGGAGGCAGCAGUGGGGAAUAUUGCACAAUGGGCGAAAGCCUGAUGCAGCGACGCCGCGUGAGGGAUGACGGCCUUCGGGUUGUAAACCUCUUUCAGUAGGGAAGAAGCGAAAGUGACGGUACCUGCAGAAGAAGCACCGGCUAACUACGUG